GAACGCUAGCUACAGGCUUAACACAUGCAAGUCGAGGGGCAGCAUUUUAGUUUGCUUGCAAACUGAAGAUGGCGACCGGCGCACGGGUGAGUAACACGUAUCCAACCUACCGAUAACUCCGGAAUAGCCUUUCGAAAGAAAGAUUAAUACCGGAUAGCAUACGAAUAUCGCAUGAUAUUUUUAUUAAAGAAUUUCGGUUAUCGAUGGGGAUGCGUUCCAUUAGUUUGUUGGCGGGGUAACGGCCCGCCAAGACUACGAUGGAUAGGGGUUCUGAGAGGAAGGUCCCCCACAUUGGAACUGAGACACGGUCCAAACUCCUACGGGAGGCAGCAGUGAGGAAUAUUGGUCAAUGGGCGAGAGCCUGAACCAGCCAAGUAGCGUGAAGGAUGAAGGCUCUAUGGGUCGUAAACUUCUUUUAUAUGGGAAUAAAGUUUUCCACGUGUGGAAUUUUGUAUGUACCAUAUGAAUAAGGAUCGGCUAACUCCGUGCCAGCAGCCGCGGUAAUACGGAGGAUCCGAGCGUUAUCCGGAUUUAUUGGGUUUAAAGGGAGCGUAGGUGGAUUGUUAAGUCAGUUGUGAAAGUUUGCGGCUCAACCGUAAAAUUGCAGUUGAAACUGGCAGUCUUGAGUACAGUAGAGGUGGGCGGAAUUCGUGGUGUAGCGGUGAAAUGCUUAGAUAUCACGAAGAACUCCGAUUGCGAAGGCAGCUCACUAGACUGUCACUGACACUGAUGCUCGAAAGUGUGGGUAUCAAACAGGAUUAGAUACCCUGGUAGUCCACACAGUAAACGAUGAAUACUCGCUGUUUGCGAUAUACAGUAAGCGGCCAAGCGAAAGCAUUAAGUAUUCCACCUGGGGAGUACGCCGGCAACGGUGAAACUCAAAGGAAUUGACGGGGGCCCGCACAAGCGGAGGAACAUGUGGUUUAAUUCGAUGAUACGCGAGGAACCUUACCCGGGCUUAAAUUGCAACAGAAUAUAUUGGAAACAGUAUAGCCGUAAGGCUGUUGUGAAGGUGCUGCAUGGUUGUCGUCAGCUCGUGCCGUGAGGUGUCGGCUUAAGUGCCAUAACGAGCGCAACCCUUAUCUUUAGUUACUAACAGGUUAUGCUGAGGACUCUAGAGAGACUGCCGUCGUAAGAUGUGAGGAAGGUGGGGAUGACGUCAAAUCAGCACGGCCCUUACGUCCGGGGCUACACACGUGUUACAAUGGGGGGUACAGAAGGCGGCUACCUGGUGACAGGAUGCUAAUCCCAAAAACCUCUCUCAGUUCGGAUCGAAGUCUGCAACCCGACUUCGUGAAGCUGGAUUCGCUAGUAAUCGCGCAUCAGCCAUGGCGCGGUGAAUACGUUCCCGGGCCUUGUACACACCGCCCGUCAAGCCAUGAAAGCCGGGGGUACCUGAAGUACGUAACCGCAAGGAGCGUCCUAGGGUAAAACUGGUAAUUGGGGCUAA
rnacentral:rRNA from 1 species